rnacentral:rRNA from 1 species
ACACUACUGGGCUUGGGAGGCGUACGAGCGACUGCGUUAGGUCCGUCCACUCGCGGCCGUAAACCCUAAUCCAGUCCCGAUCGAGGCGCGGCGGAGCGACCACAUACUCCUUAUUCGGUUGCUUCCAAGAAAAAGCCCCGAUUGGAGGCGCAGCGGGAGCGACCGCAUCGAAUCCAUCCACUCCGGAUCCGAGGCGCAGAGAGGACCCAAUGCAUCCAGUCUGUCCCGAUUCAAGGUGCGGCGGACCGACCACGUCGAAUCCAUCCAGCCCGGAUUCAUCCACUCCGUGAAUCGCCGUCCGGCUGUUCGUCUCUUGAAACUGCUACCGUGGGUUUGAAGGAAGUAAUCACUCUUCAGUUUCUCUCCAACCAUUCAUGACGGAUGAUGUGCGCCCCUCGCGGUCCUUAAUGGAUGCCUGGCUCUUUGUUUCUCAUUCUUCCGCUGUGUAUAUAUGCUUCCUCUAGGCUAACUUUUCUAACUCCAGCGACAGAACAUCCAUCAGCAUGGUGCUCUUCUAGGUUCCCCUCUGUCUUUAUUUUUUAUCAUCCAUGUACGAUAUUUGCUUCUUCCACCCAACUUGUACAGGUAUUGUUCAAACUGGGAGAUGGUCGAUUGAUUCGGCCAGAUAUUGGAAACUGGUUCUCGCAUUUUUUUUCUGAAAUUCUUUAGGUGAUAGUUCUAAUGGCUUCUGGACAGGUAAUUACUUCACUUGGACUACCAGAUUUCAUUUUUCGAUUCAUGUUUUACCAUCCAUGUUUUUACAGCAUAGAAGAUUAAUUACUCAUAUAUCUGUUAUCCACACCAUGGUUCUUCUAUUUGUUGCUGUACGCAACAGGUUUAAGUGGAGCAGUGUAGUUAUAUGCGCAAAAGAAUGUAGCCAUACUGUUAUAGAGGGGGGUGAAGCCUCAGUAUCUUCUUCUAUGCUGAAGUGAGCAAAGCCCAAUAAUCUUACCGAUAUUUGAAAGUAUGUGUGUUGAUUUUCAAGACACGGUGCAGGCUUUGCAUCAUUCCAAGCAUAAGGCAAGAUACACUUGGUUCAGUCUGGGGUCAGUGAUGUCAGCAAAUCAUUGGAAGAGUUCAGGGAGGGGCUAUUUUAGUUACGACCUGAGGCACAACGAGCAGGAGGAGUUGGCCAACUGGAGUGCUAGAUUCAGGGCAAGUUUGCCUAAGCACUUUUAUUAGUUCCGUUGAUAAUACCAGGACUGGAGAACUGAAAGCCCUUGUAGAUGCUAGAGGAACAAGAUUGACAACGGCCUUUUGCAUUGCACUCUUGAUAAAGCUUCAAGCUCAAGGCCUUUGUGAAGUUUUCCAGGAAGAAGAUUGACUAUAGCAUCUUGGAGUGCACUAAUAUUAAUAAAUAAACCCUUCAAUUUUUUUUGUCGCCCAAAGGCUACAAGUUCUGUAAUUUACCCAAAUACUUAGCAUUUUCUCUACCCAAAUAAGAGUGUAAUGUUUCAGAUCAUAUAUUCCCAGUAUUAUUAAGACAUCAUGUAUGUGAAGUUAUUUGU